rnacentral:misc_RNA from 1 species
GAUGAAGAACGCAGUGAAAUGCGAUAAGUAAUGUGAAUUGCAGAAUUCAGUGAAUCAUCGAAUCUUUGAACGCACAUUGCGCCCUCUGGUAUUCCGGGGGGCAUGCCUGUUCGAGCGUCAUUAUAACCACUCAAGCUCUCGCUUGGUAUUGGGGUUCGCGGUUUCGCGGCCCCUAAAAUCAGUGGCGGUGCCUGUCGGCUCUACGCGUAGUAAUACUUCUCGCGAUUGAGUUCGAUAGGUCUACUUGCCAGUAACCCCCAAUUUUUACAGGUUGACCUCGGAUCAGGUAGGGAUACCUGCUGAACUUAAGCAUAUCAAUAAGCGGAGGA